AUGGAAGAAAGAAAACCACUGACUACAUCUGGAUUUCACCACUCAGAGGAAGGCACAUCUUCAUCUGGAAGCAAACGCUGGGUUUCACAGUGGGCUAGUUUGGCUGCCAAUCAUACAAGGCAUGAUCAAGAAGAAAGGAUAAUGGAAUUUUCUGCACCUCUUCCUUUAGAGAAUGAGACAGAGAUCAGUGAGUCUGGCAUGACAGUGAGAAGUACUGGCUCUGCA
rnacentral:lncRNA from 1 species